GGGGGGGGGGGGGGGGGGGGGGGGGGGGGGGGGGGGGGGGGGGAGGACAGUGAGAGGGUGCGCUUGCGGGGGGCUGGUGGGGGACGGGUGCGGGCUACAUCGUCCUCUACUUUUACGUGGUGGAUCGCUGGGGGCGACUUACGCUAAUACCUCAUACGCCCUACGGGUGAAAGCAUGAUUGUUUCGUCCCUUGCGCGAUUUAUUUAGCCGACGACGGAUUUGCUAGUCGGGGGGGCAAAGGCCCACCAAGGCGACGAUCCGUAGCUGGUCUGAGAGGAUGAUCAGCCACACUGGAACUGAGACACGGUCCAGACUCCUACGGGAGGCAGCAGUGGGGAAUAUUGGACAAUGGGCGCAAGCCUGAUCCAGCCAUACCGCGUGGGUGAAGAAGGCCUUCGGGUUGUAAAGCCCUUUUGUUGGGAAAGAAAAGCAGCAGGUUAAUACCCCGCUGUUCUGACGGUACCCAAAGAAUAAGCACCGGCUAACUUCGUG
rnacentral:rRNA from 1 species